rnacentral:tRNA from 1 species
GGCUACAGAUGCCCUGAAAUGGUAAUAAAAACAAUAAGUUAAAUAUAUCUAUCCAGCAUUCAUAAUGCUGGGGUCGGUGGUUCAAGUCCACCCGUAGCCACCA